ensembl:lncRNA
CUAAGGCCGAGAAAAGAGAUUUAUCCGGCUAGCUGCGGUUAGCUGUGCUCGCUAGCCAGACACUAAAGAUCCAACAGAAACCCGACGAGUCCGAAGUGGAAACGAACAAAGUAAGUCGUUAAAAUGGACCAAUAGAAUCCCAGCUGUCCGACAGAUAAUAAUCCUGACGAGAAUGGAAGUUAUAUUGAAUAUGAACGGGAAGGCCUGCGUUUCAACACUGAACACUUGUAAAGGUUGGUCUGGUGAAGCACAAACAGAAAAUGAUUAAUAGUACGUGGAACUUUAUUAUUUUUUAAAUUUUAAAUUAAUACAUAUACUUCUGUACUUAGACUAUUACUAACUAACACACUAGCAUAUUUAAUUAAUCUCUUUUACUUUUGAUUUCAGAAAAAGCCCAGUCUGGAAGAUAAUUAUGAUACCCUUUAUGUUAUCUCAAAAGGUAAGAGUUUUCAUUCUAAUUUCUUAUUCAAAUAAUAGUUUAUUUCUCUUUAUUGAUCUUAACUGUUGAAAUUUUGUACUCAAACCUCUGCCUGUAAGAGUGAAUAGUAAUGUUAAUUUUUUUUUACAGCAUGUAUUGUCUUACAAACACAAUGCAAUAUUUCAAAAAGACAGUCAAAUUUUAAAAGUAAAAUAUUGGUAAGCUAACAGUUACAGAACAGUAAUACAGUAUAUUGCAUAAUAAUAUGGCAGUAAUAUGAUGAUAUGAAGAGAGAGCACAGAAAUGAUGAAUUUCCUGGCAAGAAACAUUGCUUGUGAGGAUUUUUUUUGUUACAAUUUUUAAUCUCAAUGGCCACUAAGAGGAAAUGACUGCUUGAAUCUGACAGAAUGAUAUGUGAUAAGUUAACUUAGAACUUCAUUUAACUUGGAACAGUGAGCUUUCUACAACUGCACAAAAAUAAGUGUGUGUUUAAGAUCAGUUUCUUUUUUUUUUUCUUAAAUAUCCUCAUUAAUAUUUGUAGCCUAUAUACAGUGCCUUGCGAAAAUAUUCAUACCCUUCAUUUUUAGC